rnacentral:sRNA from 1 species
GGACUGAGAUGCCAUGUCUCGACCUGA